rnacentral:lncRNA from 1 species
UCAGGACAUAUCCUAACUCGCGCAGAUAUAUAAAACUUCCACCCAAAAUUUACUGAAUUCAGAAAUCGUAAAAUUUUACGUCAGCGGGUAAAAUUUCUACUUGUUUUUCCAAAAGCGAGAAUAAUCCAAAACUCGUCAUUCUGAAUUUGCAUAAACCUUCUCAUACAUAAAAGAGGAUUACAGCCCAAAAGUCUGUGCCUUUUCAGCGCACGAGUACAAAACAGACUUAAACUCAGCCAAAAAUGCCGUUAUUACAACGAUACAUACAAAACGACUUAAACAAAAACCCUAAAACUUUUAUCCAAUAUUUAUUUUCCUUACACAAAAUAAACUGUGAAAUUACGGGUCUUACAUA